rnacentral:rRNA from 1 species
UACGGGGGGGGCAAGCGUUGUUCGGAAUUACUGGGCGUAAAGGGCUCGUAGGCGGCCAACUAAGUCAGACGUGAAAUCCCUCGGCUUAACCGGGGAACUGCGUCUGAUACUGGAUGGCUUGAGAUUGGGAGAGGGAUGCGGAAUUCCAGGUGUAGCGGUGAAAUGCGUAGAUAUCAGGAAGAACACCCGUGGCGAAGGCGGCUCUCUGGAACGCAACUGACGCUGAGACGCGAAAGCGUGGGGAGCAAACAGG